AUUGAACGCUGGCGGCAGGCCUAACACAUGCAAGUCGUGCGGAUGAAGGGAGCUUGCUCCUGGAUUCAGCGGCGGACGGGUGAGUAAUGCCUAGGAAUCUGCCUGGUAGUGGGGGAUAACGUCCGGAAACGGGCGCUAAUACCGCAUACGUCCUGAGGGAGAAAGUGGGGGAUCUUCGGACCUCACGCUAUCAGAUGAGCCUAGGUCGGAUUAGCUAGUUGGUGGGGUAAAGGCCUACCAAGGCGACGAUCCGUAACUGGUCUGAGAGGAUGAUCAGUCACACUGGAACUGAGACACGGUCCAGACUCCUACGGGAGGCAGCAGUAGGGAAUAUUGGACAAUGGGCGAAAGCCUGAUCCAGCCAUGCCGCGUGUGUGAAGAAGGUCUUCGGAUUGUAAAGCACUUUAAGUUGGGAGGAAGGGCAGUAAGUUAAUACCUUGCUGUUUUGACGUUACCAACAGAAUAAGCACCGGCUAACUUCGUG
rnacentral:rRNA from 1 species